UAAAGUAAGAAAGAGCGUAUGGCGGAUGCCUAGGCACAGAGAGGCGAAGAAGGACGCAGCAAACAGCGAAAUGCGACGGUUAGCAGUAAGCAUGCAACGAUCCGUCGAUGUCCGAAUGGGGGAACCCACCUGGAGUAGAGACCAGGUAUCCUGAAGUGAAUAAAUAGCUUCAGAGAGGCGAGACUCAGGGAACUGAAACAUCUAAGUACCUGAAGGAAGAGAAAAUAAACGAAUGAUUCCCUAAGUAGCGGCGAGCGAAAGGGGAAGAGCCCAAACCGAUCUUAGGAUCGGGGUUGUAGGACUGUCGGCAAAGAGCAAGAAAUCAUUAUAGGCGAACGGAAUGGGAAGUCCGGCGAAACAGGGUGACAGCCCCGUAGCCGAAAUAGUGAAGAAGCACGAGACAGCACCUGAGUACGGCGGGACACGAGGAAUCCUGUCGGAAUCCACCAGGACCAUCUGGUAAGGCUAAAUACUCCUCUGUGACCGAUAGUGAACCAGUACCGUGAGGGAAAGGUGAAAAGAACCCCGGGAGGGGAGUGAAAUAGAACCUGAAACCAUAUGCUUACAAGAAGUUAGAGCCCGUUAAAGGGUGAUAGCGUGCCUUUUGUAGAAUGAACCGGCGAGUUACGAUAUGGAGCGAGGUUAAGCAGGAUAUGCGGAGCCGAAGCGAAAGCGAGUCUUAAUAGGGCGAAAGUUGCAUGUCGUAGACCCGAAACCGAGUGAUCUAGCCAUGACCAGGUUGAAGUUGGGGUAAAACCCGAUGGAGGACCGAACCGACCCCCGUUGAAACGUUGGCGGAUGAGUUGUGGCUAGGGGUGAAAUUCCAAUCGAACUCGGAGAUAGCUGGUUCUCCCCGAAAUAGCUUUAGGGCUAGCGUCGAGGUAAAGUCGUGUGAAGGUAGAGCACUGAAUAUGUGAUGGCCCCAUCUCGGGGUACUGAACAUAAUCAAACUCCGAAUGUCACAAAGAUAUACUCGGCAGUCAGACAGUGGGUGAUAAGGUCCAUUGUCAAAAGGGAAACAGCCCAGACCAUCAGCUAAGGUCCCAAAAUAUAUACUAAGUGGAAAAGGAUGUGGAGAUGUCCAGACAACUAGGAGGUUGGCUCAGAAGCAGCCAUCCUUUAAAGAGUGCGUAACAGCUCACUAGUCGAAUGACUCUGCGCCGAUAAUUUACCGGGGCUAAGUAUAUUACCGAAGCUAUGGAUUUACGCGUAAGCGUGAGUGGUAGGGGAGCGUUCUAUGUGCGGAGAAGCGGUACCGUAAGGAGCCGUGGAGCGCAUAGAAGAGAGAAUGCCGGUGUGAGUAGCGAAACGUGGGUGAGAAUCCCACGCACCGAAAACCCAAGGUUUCCAGAGGAAGGUUCGUCCGCUCUGGGUAAGUCGGGACCUAAGGCGAGGCCGAGAGGCGUAGUCGAUGGACAACAGGUAGAGAUUCCUGUACUUACGGUAUGAAUGAUGGAGUGACGGAGAAGGCUAGCGGAUCCUGCUGAUGGAAAUGCAGGUGCAAGCGAGGUAGCCGACAGCCAGGCAAAUCCGGCUGUCGAAAGGCAAAGGCGUGAGGCGUAUGGAAAGCUGCGGCAAGUACAGAAGUCCGUGAAGCCAGCUUCCAAGAAAAGCUUCUAGUGAUAAUCAUACAGUAACCCGUACCGAAAAUGGACACACAUGGGUGAGGAGAGAAUCCUAAGGUGAGCGAGAGAACUAUAGCUAAGGAACUCUGCAAAAUGACUCCGUAACUUAGGGAUAAGGAGUGCUCAUAGAGAUAUGAGCCGCAGUGAAACGGCCCAAGCGACUGUUUACCAAAAACACAGCUCUAUGCUAAGUCGAAAGACGACGUAUAUGGGGUGACGCCUGCCCGGUGCUGGAAGGUUAAGAGGAUGUGUCAGCGCAAGCGAAGCAUUGAAUUGAAGCCCCAGUAAACGGCGGCCGUAACUAUAACGGUCCUAAGGUAGCGAAAUUCCUUGUCGGGUAAGUUCCGACCCGCACGAAAGGCGUAAUGAUUUGGGCACUGUCUCAACAAUGCACCCGGUGAAAUUGAAAUACCAGUGAAGAUGCUGGUUACCUGCGCCAGGACGGAAAGACCCCAUGGAGCUUUACUCCAGCUUGAUACUGGGAUUCGAUAUUGCAUGUACAGGAUAGGUGGGAGACUGAGAACUGAUGACGCCAGUUGUCAGGGAGUCACUGUUGGGAUACCACCCUUGUAGUAUUGGAUUUCUAACCAGCAGCCGUGAACCGGCUGGGGGACAAUGUCAGGUGGGGAGUUUGACUGGGGCGGUCGCCUCCGAAAGGGUAUCGGAGGCGCUCAAAGGUUCCCUCAGAAUGGUUGGAAACCAUUCGAAGAGUGCAAAGGCAGAAGGGAGCUUGACUGCGACACCGACGGGUGGAGCAGGUACGAAAGUAGGACUUAGUGAUCCGGUGGUAUAAAGUGGGAUUGCCAUCGCUCAACGGAUAAAAGCUACCCUGGGGAUAACAGGCUUAUCACUCCCAAGAGUUCACAUCGACGGAGUGGUUUGGCACCUCGAUGUCGGCUCAUCGCAUCCUGGGGCUGAAGUAGGUCCCAAGGGUUGGGCUGUUCGCCCAUUAAAGCGGUACGCGAGCUGGGUUCAGAACGUCGUGAGACAGUUCGGUCCCUAUCUGUCGUGGGCGUAGGAAGUUUGAGAAGAUCUGUCCUCAGUACGAGAGGACCGGGAUGGACAUAUCAAUGGUGCACCAGUUGUCACGCCAGUGGCACAGCUGGGUAGCUAAAUAUGGAAGGGAUAAACGCUGAAGGCAUCUAAGUGUGAAACCCACUUCAAGAUGAGACUUCCCAUUACGCAAGUAAGUAAGACCCCUUAAAGACGAUAAGGUUGAUAGGUCAGGAGUGUAAGCAUGGCGACAUGUUCAGCGGACUGAUACUAAUAGGUCGAGGACUUAACCU
rnacentral:rRNA from 1 species